ensembl:lncRNA
UUUUUUUUAUUUUUAUUUUUAUUUUUUUUGGAUACUCAUGAAAGAGAAACUUUUGUUUUAAAAAAUGUUAAAAAAAUGAUUUGUACUCUCAAAAGCAUCUUUGAUAACCAAUUUUUAGGAAACUACCUGCUGAAUAGAAACAGUUUCAGAGCUGAGAAUUUGCCCAGUUCAUACCCAACUGAUUUUUUGCCACAGCGAUACGAUAACCUCAGAAACAGCUGGGGUGAUUUAAAGGGGAGAUUUACUGGGCACUUAGAUUCAUUUUGUGUCUGCUCUAUUUUUGUCAUCUUUCUUGUUAUACUAUUAAAGUGGCAAAAAUAAAUCAUUUUAUUUGUGGUUCUAUCUGCCCAGUGGCUCAGCGCACUCAGAGUGGUAGGCUCCAGAUUUCCAGUUUGGACCACAUGAUGCUUUAUACUGUUCCCUGCUGCCCAGACCUGGGACCUUGUGCCCCACCCAAGUUCAGAAUCAAAGACCUUCACACACACUGAGUCAUUCACUCAGCCCCUCCCCAGGUAUGAACUGGGAGCAGAGCUACAUUUCUGCACCACGAGCUAUAUCUUUGUCCUAUGGUGACCACUUUCCUUCCUUUCUCACUACCUACCCCCCACCAAGCUGAGCUGAAAGGUAUUUUAUUACUUGCAGCCAAAGAGGCCUAAUUUAUUUAGUUAUAAUUUCAAAAAUUAAAAUAUUCCCUCCUUGGGUUGUAUAAGAAUUUCAACGAUGACACCUGGCACAGUGUGAUGGGCAGCCCAGUAUUGUGAUGAAAUACCCACCCACAAUCUCUGACCCCUUCCUCCUCCCAACAAAGCCUAGUCACAACAGGGACUGCCACACCCUUGGAGGAAGUGUGGUCAGUGCCCUGUCUAUGACAGGUGACUUGUCUGAAGCUAUCAGGAUUACACAAGCACAUACGUGUUGACCGAGUCAUUUGCAGGAAUUUAUCUUACGGAUAUACUUGUUCAGAUGCCAAAAAAAAAAAAAAACAAAGUAUAAAGAUACACUUGCACAGGUGCAAAAACAACACGGUGGGAGGUUACCUGGUAAAGCGUCGUUGAUAAGAGCAAAAUACCAGGAACAACUGGUUAAAUAAAUUACAUAAAUCCACACAAUGGAAGUACUAUGGUGCUGUAAAAAGGAAUGAAUAGAGGCUUUAUGUAUGGAAACCUGCUAAGUGAGAAGAGCAUGGUGCAGGUACAGGUCAGUGGGUUUUGUAGGCUGUGGCUGCGGGAUAAGGACGUCUAUUUAAAUUCACUUAUAUAUACAUUGAAAAAAACUCUAGCAAGCGAAACAAAUGAACACCAGUAGUUUACCUGUGUCUAUGGAUGUGUAUGUGGCUGAGAGUUGGGGGUGGGGAGCUUAGCUAGAAAUAGGAGUAGGAGGGAGGCUUUGCCUGUAUACCUCUUAUGAGGUUCUAAGCAGUGCUAUCCUGUGUUGUCAACUAUUCAAAAGAGGAGAGUAAGAGAGACAGAGGGAGGGACAGGGUGGGGGGAAGGGAGGGAAGGAAGGGAGAGGGGAAGGGAGGGAGGGAGGGAUUGAGGAUGGAAGGAAAGAUGGGGGAAGAGGGAAAUCAAUGGCUACCAACAAAAAUGUCUUUAUCAGAAUCUGUUGGUUGUUCUUAGUAAAGAAAAUAUUUGAAACUGCUUUCUCUUGAGCAGAAGAAACACUAACCCUUGUGCACUGGGCACAGCUCUGGCAAUAGGGUCAUGUCUUAAUUGUCCCUCUGGGCCAGGAAUCACAGCAGAGCUAGACUCGCUACCAUCUCCAGCUCCAGGCGAUUGUCCACCCCAACCAGCAACAGCCUCCCCUUGAUGAAAGAGAGGAACUCCUAACUCCGUGAAGCAUUGUAGGAAUGAGAUCGGACACUCCUUCUCUGCGGACACAGGCCAUUAGUCCUCACGUUCCACAACAGAAAACAGGCCUAAAAUUCUACCGUGUCUGAGACAGAGAAAACAGUGACUCAGAACUCACACUCAGGGAAGUAAGCUUAAAUGGUGCUUUUCCUUGAAAAUGAGGGUUCCCCAUCCUCACCGUCAAUGACAAGUGAGAAACAACUCCUGACUUGACUUGGGACAGGUACUGUUGACAGAUGAAAAACAGGCCAUUUGUUGCUGUCUUUCCAAGUAAAGGUCAACCAGACACUCACUCAUCAAAGAAUCAACCAGAUGCCCCAGUGCCAGGUUCCAGGUAUGACAACCCCCGGGGACUGUUCU